UCAGAGAGAGAGAGUGUUUUACCACUGUUGACUGUCGGCAGUGUCACUGCUCCUUUGAGCUUUUGGCAGUAAAGGCAACUCCACUCACCCGCUCCACACACGCAGCGGUAACACGCUGACUGAACCUCCUCCACUUCAGCUCAAACUCCACUUCAGCGGACUACUUCAACAGGACGGCUGCUUAUCUGCCUUUUCUCUGGUGGUUUCAAGAGCUUUUCAAAAAGUUCAAAUGCUUUUUCCCUCAUCUCUCAUGGACCAGUUUUAACUGAGUAAAAGGGACUUUUUCCCUCCUACAUCUGCAGUUCAGAUGUGUGGAACAUAACAGAUAUGUUUGCUUCAAAUGCUGCAGGACACGGGAUGCACACGACUUUCAGGAUGCUUGAAGGAGAGGUGAAACAGAAUUGAUACUGUUGUUCAAGAUUUGGAGACACGGUGGUACAAAACGCAAGAUUAAAUGCACCAUCAUCAAGGUAUCUCAAUUGCUUUAGAUGUUUCCAGCACCUAGCUAUGUCUCGUUGCUGCUGCUUGUUUCUGAUAUUCAGUUUGAAAAAUUGCAUGCCUUGAUCUCUGAAUACUGAAACAUGGAAACUCUGAUAAACACCACUCUAUCAUACAAUGUGAGCAGCAAUCUAUCAAUCAAUGCGACGCCGGCAGGGAGUGAAGGACAUGGGUUGAAGUCUUUGGAGCUGUUCGUCAUGGUGAUCAUCAUCACCAUUAUCGUCGUAGGUAACCUUCUGGUCAUCAUCGCUAUCGCACGCACCUCCCAGCUGCAGACCACGACGAAUAUCUUCAUCAUGUCGCUGGCAUGUGCUGACCUCAUAAUGGGGGUGCUGGUGGUGCCACCAGGCGCCACGAUAGUCGUAACGGGGGAAUGGCAACUCAAUAAGACUUUGUGCGAGUUAUGGACAUCGGUUGAUGUGUUAUGCGUAACCGCCAGCAUAGAGACCCUUUGCAUCAUCGCGGUGGAUCGGUAUAUUGCAAUCACGCGGCCUCUGCGGUAUAAACUGCUUCUGAAUAAGUGCAGGGCUCGAAUUAUCGUUUGUGUCGUGUGGCUGGUCUCGGCUCUAAUCUCCUUCGUCCCCAUUAUGAAUCAGUACUAUCGUGCGGAGGAUAAGGAAGCAAAAAAGUGUUACGAUAACCCCACGUGCUGUGAUUUAGAAAUAAACAUGCACUUUGCUAUCGUUUCAUCAGUGGUUUCGUUCUACAUCCCACUCCUCAUCAUGAUUUUCGUCUACGCACGCGUCUUUCUCAUUGCCACACGACAGGUACAGCUCAUCGACAAGAACCGUUUGAGAUUCCAAAAUGAGUGCAUGGGAAAUCAGGUACUGCCGACGCUCCACGGCAACAACAACUUACCUACGACGUGCAAUAAUGUAGGAGGAACAACGGUAAGGCGCAAAAGUUCCCGAAGGCGACCAUCGAGAUUAACCGUUGUCAAGGAGCACAAGGCCCUCAAGACGCUGGGCAUCAUCAUGGGCGUCUUCACACUCUGUUGGUUGCCUUUCUUCGUGGUGAACAUCAUUAAGGUCUUCAAUCGAAACUUGCUGGACUUGAACGUUUUUCGUUUCUUAAACUGGUUAGGCUACAUCAACUCUGGCCUCAACCCCAUCAUCUACUGCCGAAGCCCAGAGUUUCGUGCGGCCUUCAAGAACCUUCUUGGCUGUCCCUGGAUACCCUCUCUGAAAAUGAACUUCCUUUACAAGGGGCUUCGGACUCGAUGCCCCUGCUUCUUGGGGUCGGCGGAGCCAGGAAUGUCUGGAUCGUUCCAGACGCCCCCCAUAUCGCAAGAGACACUGCCUGAGGACGGCAGCAGCCAGAGCAGCUACAGGAGCGAGGAGCCAUCGCCAGGACCACCGCACUCCAACGGAAGCACCUUCUUCAGUGAAUUCUCCGAAGCCGAGGCAGAGUUGAGGGAUGAAGACCUGUGAGAAGUGCGUCAAGGUUGAUCCGGGCAGUGUUGAAGUUGCCUCCGAUUACUGAGCAAUUGGACGCGUACAACAUUUCACUUAAAAAUGAACAACUUGUUAUGGUACUGCUUACGGUGGAAUGUGAAACAGCCAGGUGAAGUUUGUGCAGGGAGAAAAAAAUACAAGGCUUAGGCUCAUAAUUGCUCGUGUUUAUAGCUGGAAUACACAGAAACAAGCGGGCCGGUCAAAUCUAAUGCAGAUGAAGCUUCCUCGGGGGAGCGACAACACUUAAUGUUCUUGAGGGAAACUGGCAUGAGGAAGAAUUUUUGCUUUGGUUUGAACAUUUUGGCAUUAUCUUUAAAAGAACGUGUGUCAGAAGAAAAGUAUGAGGAAUGGAACAGGACACAAGCUCUGAUAUGAAAGAGAAACCAUGUGCUCUAAAUCUGGCCUUUUCUCUUAAAUGCUCAAGAGAAGUGACCAUCUGUAAAGAAGCACAAUUGCCCUUUUGUUUAUUUUCAUUGGACUUUAAAUUGUUGAUAAUAGUUAAGUAACUUCUUUAUAAUAAAAGUAUUUUUAACUGUACAAUUACUUCAGAGAGAAAAAUAUGAAAAGUAAACACUAAUAUACAAAAGAUGCUGUAUAUCAUCAUGAAAUAUACAGAUAUCCAUGUUAAAAUUAGCCAUGACACCAGACUACACAGUCUACAUAUUUAAAUAUAUUUUUUGUGUCACUUCAAUGAAAAGCAGAAAAAAAAAAAUCAUGCUGCAUUCUCUAGAAAUCAAAAAUGAGAGUAAGAAAAAAAGACACAAUGUCAAAUAAUGUUCUCUUAUUUGAUUACAGACCUCAAUUUCUUCAUCCAGACCAAAAUUAUAGUUAAUCGAACAUUGUCCACAGGAACAAACACUUCAGCAUUGUUUUGUUUUCUAAUGCAUUUGCACAAGUCAGAUUUACUGUGUGAUACGAUAAUUGUGGGGUUUUAUCCAGAUAGUAUGGUAGCUAUUUUAACGACCCACUGCAAGACGCCAAUUGUAAAGUAGUUGUGUUUUUGUGUUUUUUCAAUUGUAUAAAUUCUGCUCCUGCAACACAGGAACUAACUACUUAAACUACACUACAUAUUUCCUAACGUAAACGAAAAAAUAAAUAAAUAAAAAAAUACAUUUUUGGUGUCAAAAUACAUUUUUGGUAACCAUGUCUCAGAUAAUAAUAACAAAAAUCAACAUAGGAUUUUGAAUUCACUAAAAUUACUAAAACUGGAUACUGCUCUGUUUAUAGAGGCUUUUCAGGAAAGGUUUUUCCUAGAAGGGGGGAGACACACUUGACUAUCACAGUACAGGGUUUACAGCAGCUGUUACAGGGGUCUGGGCGGGCAAGCCCUGGAGACAUUUCCUAGCCACAAUGAAGUGGAAACAAUGCACACGCAUACACAUUUUACAUCCAAACACAGUCAUGUGCGCCAGACACUUCAGCAGAAACAAUUUUUUAAUCUUGGGUUUUGUGGAAAUAAUAAAAGAGCACCAUGUCAGCUUUCUCUCUUUCAAAAAACAAAAAAGACCAAAAAAUUGGUAAAAUUACAUAUCUGUUGGUUCAAUAUAUACAGUACCACUAUAAAUAGAAGGCACUUUUAUUGUGCAUUACAGAUUUACAUCAAACCAUACAAGCCAACUGAAUUGUAAGAUUCAAUUUUUACAAGCAUUAUUGUUAAGUCUUUAUAUGUAAUUUCAAAUUAUAACGUAAGAGACUUAACUGAUCUUGCUCUAUUUAAAAAAUAAAGGUUUUUAAAUUUUAUUUUACAAAUGUAAAACUCAUAUUUCUUGAUGACAUUAAGUUUGAGCUGCUGAAUCCACAGCAGACUUCAUGUAAGGAGAAAAAUCUUGUGGUGGAAACCGAAAGACAGAAGCGGAGAGAAAAGAACAACUCAGAAUCCAGUCAUUCUAUGCGACUUUAAUCUCCAAAUGCUUAAAGCAGCAAGUUCAUGGGUGUCAGGUAGCCCAUUUCAACAAACAAGACACAUUAUUCAGCGUAUAGCUCACCAACUUACAUUGAGUAAAAUUUGAUCAGCCCUGUGAUGUCUGAAGGCCUUUUACGUAAACUGUGUACUUUGCUUUUCGUACACCGUGACCAGGUCUCGAGUGAGAUUCAUUAAACACGAGGCAGCUCGAACAUUAUGUCUAGCACAAUGUAAUAAGACAAAAUGAGCAUUUUGAGUAUUUUUAGUGCAGCGUAUUAUGAAAGUUGCUCUUGUAGACAUACAGUAAUUCAAAUAAUGACAGAUGGGAGAUAAUGGUAGUGUGUUUUGUUUAACGGGAAGUCAACAUUUUGCCGCUCUGUGCUGCUGAUGGGUACAUUUUGUGUUGCUGGCAGAAACACGUAAAUGAAGCCACAAUGAUUGCUUUGUGUUUCAGAGUACACUGAGAAAGGGUUGAAAUGCUGUUUAUGUGUAUUGAUUAACCCUCCAUGCGAAAGAGCACUUGUUGCAAUUGUUUUCUGUGAACAAGCAUGCAUUUUUCAUGCAAUAUGAAUUUUGGAAGCGUGAUGUCAAUUGUAUAUAACUGCUGUAGAAACUAAAUAUAGAUUGAUUGUUGCUUGUAAAUUUGUUGCUACCACUGAAUUAACUUGUAUGGGUGAGAAUGAGGUUUCUGUAGUGUUGUUGGCAAGUUUUGGCCCCUCUGUUGCUUCUCCGACACCCCUAGGAGCUGAUAAACUUUAUCACUGAAAUGCAACACUUCCGCCUUUGAGGAGAAGCUGUUUACGACCUAAACAGAGCAAGCGCAGUGAAUGCUCAACACGAGGGCAAGAUCUUGCAAGCAAACUGUAACCUACAGGGGCAGGAUGGCUGAAAGUCUCUAGCACAGCUGAAAGAAAAGGACGCUGAGGAAGAAGCAGGCAAAAAGUACUGACCUACGUCACAGUUGGCUGGCCUUCCCCAGCAGAGACCACAAGGGC